rnacentral:rRNA from 1 species
CCGGGCCUACGGGACGCCGCAGUAGGGAAUUUUCGUCAAUGGGCGCAAGCCUGAACGAGCAAUGCCGCGUGAACGAGGAAGGUCUUCGGAUCGUAAAGUUCUGUUGAAGGGGAAAAAGAGCGGAGAGAGGAAAUGAACUCCGAUUGAUAUUACCCUUCGAGGAAGUCACGGCUAACUACGUGCCAGCAGCCGCGGUAAUACGUAGGUGGCGAGCGUUAUCCGGAAUGAUUGGGCGUAAAGGGUGCGUAGGCGGCCUGCUAAGUCUGGAGUGAAAGGUACCGGCUCAACCGGUACAGGCUCUGGAA